UCAAGCGGGAAUAGCCCAGAGAAAUUUGGAUAAUACCCCAUAAUAUAUUUGAUAAGGCAUCUUAUUAAUAUUAAAGCUUCGGCACUUGAUGAUGGGUGUGCGGCUGAUUAGAUAGUUGGCGGGGUAACGGCCCACCAAGUCUACGAUCAGUAGCUGAUGUGAGAGCAUGAUCAGCCACACGGGCACUGAGACACGGGCCCGACUCCUACGGGAGGCAGCAGUAAGGAAUAUUGGACAAUGGACGAAAGUCUGAUCCAGCCAUGCCGCGUGAAGGAUUAAGGUCCUCUGGAUUGUAAACUUCUUUUAUAUGGGACGAAAAAAGGGCAUUCUUGUUCACUUGACGGUACCAUAUGAAUAAGCACCGGCUAACUCCGUG
rnacentral:rRNA from 1 species